rnacentral:rRNA from 1 species
UACGAAGGGGGCUAGCGUUGCUCGGAAUGACUGGGCGUAAAGGGCGCGUAGGCGGUCUGUCGCGUCGGAUGUGAAAACCCAGGGCUCAACCCUGGGCCUGCAUUCGAUACGGGCAGACUAGAGUUCGGUAGGGGAGACUGGAAUUCCUGGUGUAGCGGUGAAAUGCGCAGAUAUCAGGAGGAACACCGGUGGCGAAGGCGGGUCUCUGGGCCGAAACUGACGCUGAGGAGCGAAAGCGUGGGGAGCAAACAGG